AACUUGAGAAUGUUUCUGUGUUUUACAUAAUAUAUUUGUUGUAAUAUCUGAAGGGCCAGUGUCUAAAACUAUGCUCUUAAAUGGAGUUACUCCCUUUGAAAUGUUGUUACCAUUUUGUUGUGGGUUUUCCGGAUGCAAAUUCUGCUUCCUCAAGAGGGGUUACCCCUGAGGUGUAUCCUCAUAUACUCAGGUGAUCUCAUGUGAACCUUCUCCCCAUUUUAACUGGGGAGGCUAGAGCUUGUGACUGGGCAGUGUGGGGAAAGGUAGGACUGGAGGUUAGUCUUCCAAUAGGUAGAGAGAGAGAAGAGGAGGAGAGGGGAAGGAGAGAGGACUGAAGAAAAAGAGAAGGAAGCCAUGAUGGAGCAUAAUCCGAUGGCCAGGAAAAACUGCAAGUAGCAAAGGGUCUUAUAGCUGGGGAAUAAGUUAGCAUAGUAUUAGAUCUGCCCAAUAUAGGCAUAUAGUUUAUAGUUAUUAAAACUGGAUUAUGUGUUUAUUAUAUGGGCUUAUUGGGGUUGAAAUUCUAGCAACACCAUUUUGCUCCUUUUUUUAAAAGGUCUGGGGAGGGAAAGGGGCAUCAAAGAGUUGUCAGUGGGGAAAAUUGCCUGGAGCUGAGUCUUGUCUCAGCAUUUACUGUUUGUGUGGUUUGGAGUAAAGCCCAUUUGCCUUUGACCUUGAGGGUAUCCCUAAGUUUGGCACCAAUUUAAUGAUCCCAGCUUAUUUCCUAAUACUCAGGACACCUUUGUUUCUAGUACGGCAUGUCAUGUGGCCUCUGCUUAUUACCACCAAACACCUCUGAUCCUGCUGCUGAGCCAGGCAGAGAACUCUUUGCCCCACCUGUCCACAUCUGGCCUCCUUUCGUGCAAUCACUUCAAACUGUCCUCCUUUGUAAAGGAGGAGGCUCUCUCUUGGCUCUCAGGGCACAUAUAACUUAUCACUUCUAUGUUUUCAGAGCUUAGAAUAGGAGAGAUACUUUGAAUGUUAUCCAGUCCAUUCCCAGCCUCAUCCCACCACAUCCUUUUAUAUGUUUAGCUACUGUGAACACAUGACCUUGUAAUAGGGGCAGAAAUUAGCUUAUAUUUCUGAUUAUUGUCAGGUAUGAAGAGGAUGGUAGAAUAUACAAGUUAUGUAGUGGUACAGUUUGUAUAUGAAGUGUUCUUGAGCUUUGGGGUUUUAAAGCUCUGAGGUUGUCAUGUGCUGAGUAUCAGGAAAGUACUGGAUCUUGAAGACUCUGCCUGAAUUCGUACACUAAUGUACUGAACACUGAUGGGGGGAGCUUAGAUAGAGGAAGCAGGUCAUUGUGGUGCAUCCCAAAAGAACAUAUCCAAUCUCUCUUUAUUCUUCUCUCUUUCUGUUCCCUGAUGACUGUGUGGUGAGCAGCCUUUAGUCACUGUAUCAUCCCAAACUCUUAAAAUCAAUGGAGCCAGUGGAUCUGGGGCUGAGGGUGGGGCAAAUUUUCUCCUUUCCACUAAUGUUCUCACGGUUUGUUUCUUUUUGUCACGGUGAUGAAAAGUUCGCUCAUACACUUAAUUAUCAUCAUUUUAAAAGAUUAUACACACUGGCAGCCAAACUGAAUGCAAUCACAUCAAACCCACAAAUCUUACAUCAGCAAUUACCUGCUCAAAACCAAACAGCCAACCAACCAACCAAACAAACAAACAACCCAUUAUCUCCAGGUUUACUUUGCAUGGAGUUAGCAACUCUUACAACAAGUCCAUGAAACUGCCAGAACAGCAUCUUAUUUUAGUUAUAUCUUAUUAUUUAUAUUGCUUGUUUUACCUUGUUCUUAAAUAAUAAUGUUUCAUAAUUUUGACUUCAGAGGGGGGAAAAAUAACUAUAAAUGGGUAUUUAUGCCCACCAAGGCUACAGGUAUUAGCUUAGGUCUUCUUCCUUUUAUGGGAUUAAACCAUCUAGAUAGGAACAACUUAAGGGACCAGGGGUUUAUUUUGCCUCGCAGCUUAAGUGUAUGUCAUGUCCCAUUGCACCUUCAGUCAGGAGGCAGAGAAUGAGUGGCAUUUGUGCUCCACUUGCUUCCUUCUUUCUAUGCAGUACAGGACCCAAGCCCAGUGGAAGGUGGUACCCUCUGUUAGGAUGAGAUUUCCUACCUCAGUUACCCUAAUCAGGAUUUCUCCCAAGCAUGCCUAGCAGCUAACCUAACUGAAAUAACCCCUCACUGGUGCAACUGGACACUUGUCUCCUAGGUGACUCUAAGAGACACCUGUCAAUCUGUCAUCUUGUCGAUCAACACAAACCAUCACAAAGCAUCCAACAGAGGUCUUAGGUUAGGAGAGACUGUUGUGUGUUUAGCAUGUUGUCUCCCAUUCUGUAUACUUUCAACUCCAUUUCAAAUCCUUCUCUAAACAGCAAUUGAUCUAUUUGGGCUGGGUGAGAAAAUAGUCACCUGCCUCCGAUGUCUUGUAUCAUUCCACCAUUAUUUCAAAUGCACGUCAUCUUAUUUCCCAGAUUUAAAGUCC
rnacentral:lncRNA from 1 species